rnacentral:rRNA from 1 species
GCAGAAUCCCGUGAACCAUCGAGUCUUUGAACGCAAGUUGCGCCCGAAGCCUUCUGGCCGAGGGCACGCCUGCCUGGGUGUCACACAUCGUCGCCCCCCAAAAUCCCGAUAUCUCGCAAGAGACAAUCGGGAAUAGGAUGGGCGGAAAAUGGUCUCCCGUGCGCUCCCGUUCGCGGUUGGCCCAAAAAUGAGUUCCUGGCAAAGCAAAGCCACGACCAGCGGUGGUUGUAAGACCCUCGGUACAAGUCGUGAGCCUUGCAUUGCUCGUAGGGACAUGUUGACCCUGAACGUGAUCGAGUAACAUCGAACACUCACAAAGUGACCCCAGGUCAGGCGGGACUACCCGCUGAAUUUAA